UUGAUAUGCGUGAAUGGCACUUAAAAUAAAGAUAUUAUGUUAACUCCAAAAAAAGGUGGGGGAUAGCUAGGUGGCACAGUGGAUAGAGCACCAGCCCUGAAGUCUGGAGGACCUGAGUUCAAAUGUAACCUCAGACACUUAACACUUCCUAGCUGUGUGGCUCUGGGCAAGUCACUUAACCCCAAUUGACUCAGAAGAAGAAAAAAAGAAAUUAGUUGUGAGAACACUGAGUCUAGAUUAUAUGUGAAUGGAGAAGGGACUUCAAUUUGAUGGGGACAUACUUUUACUUCAGAUUGUUAAGGACAUACUUCAAGAGAGGUCCUUAAUCAAAAAAGAAUAAAUUAUCACUACCACCCUCCCCUACAAAUGGGGAAAUGACAGAAACUACAUAACUUACAUAAUCAGUACUUGAUAAACUGUAAAAAAUAAUAAAUCAGAAUUCAGUUGCCCAAAGUACAGGAUGAGUCAGAGAGAAGGAAACAGAACAAGAAAGCAAGUUUCCUGAAUUUGACCUAGUUUUCUCAUGAGGUUGAGCAAGGCAGAAAACCCUUCUUCCAGUAAGAGAUGAGACUUUUGAUUUUUUUUUUUAAAGGAUGAUAAUAAGCAGUUACAUUUAUCCAGUACUAAUAUUUGCUAACCAUCUUCCUUCCUUCAGAUUUGGGAAGCCAGUAGAGCAAUUUUUCCUAUUUUAUAUAUGAGAAAACAAGAUUAAAGAGGGGGAUUUAUAAUAGAUUAAUAACUCAAGUCAGGACUGUAGCCCAGAGUUUCUGAUGUCAAGUUCAACACUAGAAAUUCUUCCCUGUCUCUUCAAAAGUGAAAUGAAUCUUAUAAUCAGCCUGUCAAAAGCCAUUGCAUUCUUCACAUGCAGGUUGACAGGACUGAGGGUGCAGUCCCUUGCUGUCAAUGUCCCCACACUGUCCAGGGAAAGGCUCAGCCCAAUAACUAAAGGGAUCAGUCUGACUGCAUUAGAUUUUCAGGUUUUCCUUUGGAUCUGCACAACCAGGAAUUCUCAAAACAAACUCAGCAUCCCUUGGGAAGGAAGCAGUAUUGCCUGUCAUAGGAACAGAUGCUAUUAGACAUUCCUACCUUCUUCUCCCUUCCUGCCCUCACAGUUAUGCUGGCUGAUGAGAUUUCUCUCCUUCCUUGACUUAAUUCUUCAGCUACACUAGAUCAGUCUCCCUGCCGUGCUUGCAAAACCACUGCCCUCUGCUGUCCAGAAGAUGGCAAAUGCACGUUGAGAUGGAUGGCUCUAUAUAUGUUGCAGAAUACUUUUCCAUUUCCUGAAGUUGUGUACAGAGUCAGAGACAAAGCAGAGGUGUCAAACUCAAGGCCCUGUGGUUGGCAAGCAGUUGCAUACUCCAAGUGCUACCUAAAUUGGAUUAAAAUCCAAUUGAGAAAUGUUUAACAACAAAAAAAAAUGCAGUAUGUCAGUUAAUUUGAAUUAGUUUUCUAAGUCAAUAUGCAGUCUGUGGGAAAUAAUUAUCUUAUUGAGUAUAUUUUAAGCCCUUCACUCUUUUAUAGUGGUGGCUGCUAAAUCAUGUAUAAUCCUGACUGUGGGUCCUUAGUACAUAUAUUCUUGGUUCUAAUAGUAUUUUAUUUUUUCCUCCAGUUACAUGUCAAGAAAACUUUUGAAAUUCACUUUUACAAGAUUUUGAAUUACAGAUUUUUCUUCUCUCCUUCCUCUCCCCUUUUCCUAAAGUGGUAGCUUGAUAUAGUUUAUACCUGUGUUACUAUGUAAAACAUAUUUCCAUACUAGUCACAGUAGUUAAAGAAAAAAUUAUCAAAAAACCAAAAGAAUAAAGUAAAAAAAAAAAAUCCUUCAAUAUGCAUUCAAAGUCCUUCAGUUAUUUAUUUGGAUACUAAUAGCAUUUUCCUUUGUAUUUGUCUUGGAUCAUUGUGUUUUUACAUUUAGAGGUGAUCAUCACACAAUAUUGCUUAAUAUUGGAUCAGAUUUUCCUGAUUCUGUUCAUUUUACUUUGUAUCAGUCUGUACAAGUCUUUCUAGGUUUUUCUGAAAUCUGAUUGCUCAUCAUUUAUUGUAUAAUAGUUUUCCAUUACUUUCAUAUGUCACAGCUUGUUUAGCUCUUCCCCAAUUGAUGUGUUCCUUCAAUAUUCAAUAUUUUACCACUAUGAAAAGGGAUGCUAUAUUUUUGUACAUGUAGGCCUUUCCCUGCUUCUUAUCUCUUUGGGAGACAAACCUAGUUCAUUAUAUAUUUGUGAGGCCUUUAUCAGAGACUGCUGUAAAGACUGUUUUCCAGUUGUUUACUUCCAUUCUAAUCUUGGUUGCUUUGGUUUUUAAGGCUUUAAAGACUUAAAAUUAGUUUCCAUUUUUGCAAUGACACUCUUUGUCUUUGUCUUCCUGUAACUUAACUUCAAGAUUCUGAAAAUUACACCACUUGGUGCACAUAUUAUAUUAAAUAUUGAUAUUGCUUCAUUGUCUAUAAAAUCUUUUAACAAGAUGUAGUUUCCGUCCUUGUAAUUAGGUUUAUAUUUACUUUUAUUUUGAAUGAGAUUGAUUGCUAGCCCCCUCCCUUUAUCAAUUUCAACUGAAGCAUAGUAGAUUCUGCUCCAGCUUCUUACCUUUAUUUUAUGUUUGUCUCUCUACUACAAGUGUAUUUCUUACAUAUUGUAAGAUUCUGGUUUUUGAUCCCUUUGCUAUCUGCUUCUGUUUUAUGGGCAAGUUCAUCCUACUUACAUGAAAUUAUGAUUAAUUUCUGUGUAAUCUUCCUCCUGUUUGUCCUCUUCCUUUUUCCCUUUCCCUCUUUACCAGUGUUUUGCUUCUACUAUCUCCCCUGAUAUGCCUUCCCUUCCCCUUUAUUGAAUCUCUCCUCCUACUCCCCUUUCAGAUUAGAAUUCUAUGUUCAACUGAUUAUAUAUAUUACUCCCUCUUUGAACCAAUAUUGAUGAGGUUUGAGCAAUGCUCAUUGUCUACUCUCCCAUGCUUUUCUACUUUAAUAGGUCUUUCAUACAUCAUGUGAAGUAAUUUACAUCAUUCUUUCUUCCUUCUGCACUCAAUAAACUUCUUUUUCUCAUCUCUUAAUUUUUUUUCAUGUCAUUCCUUCAAAUUCACCUUAUAUUUGUACUAUGUAUAUUCUUUUUAGUUGUACUAUUAGUGAUACAAUUUUUAAGAAUUAUAAAUAUCUUCCCAUGGAUGAAUGUAAACAAUUUAGCUCUAUUAAAUAAAUACCCUUUCCCCCCUUUUUGGAAAUCAGUUUUUUUUGUUUUUUUUUUUAGUUCUGAUUUCUUUAUGAAAGCUUGAAAUCCUAUUUCAUUGAAUGGACUUUUUUUUUCCCCUUGACAUAUUAAGCUUAAUUUUGCUAAGUAAUGUUUAGUUGUAGUCCUAGCUCUUUUGCCUUUUGGAAUAUCAUCUCUGAUUCUUUAAUUUAAUAUUGAAGCUGCCAAAUCUAAUCAUUCUGUUGUGUCUCCUGGAUCUAUUUUCUAGAUCAGUUUUUCUUAUGAGAUAUUGUUGCAUUUUCUUCCAUUUUUUCAUUCUUUUUGAUUCUUUGUAUCUUAUAGAGUCAUUAGCUUCUACUUGCCUGAUUCUAACUUUUAAGAUAGUUUUCCAUUUGUAUUCUUUAAGGAAUUUUCCAAGCUAUUGACUUAUUUUCAUACUUCUCUUGCAUCACCCUCAUUUCUUUCCUCACUUUUUCUUUUACUUCUCCUACAUGAUUUUUAAACUUCUUUUUGAGCUCCUCCAUGAGUUUUUUCCUAGGCUUGAGACUGUUUUCUUUCAGGGUUUUGCUUAUAGGUUUUUUGGCAUUGUUGCCCUCCACUGAGUUUGUGUCUGUUUUCCCUUUUAUUAUAAUAACUUUCUAAGAGUUUAUAUAUAAUAUAUGGAUAUAUAUUUUUGGGGGGGGGUGGGAGGGGGGAAGGUGUGAGUUUUUUUUCUUUUUAAAUUUAUGCUCUGCUCCCAGGGUAGAAAUACUGUCUCAGGUUUCUUGUGCCAGUGACUGCCACUUUGUUAACUUGGUAAACUGAAGUUGCCCUGAGGCCCACAGGUUAAGACCCUAGAGUCUAGUGUAAUACUUUUAAGUUUGGGGUUGGGAUACCUGGUCCUUAUGGAGGCUGUAAGAAUUCUGGUAACUUACUUGGUGCUGAGUUGAGGUCCUAGUGAUGCUAUCUGGUGUGUGCAGAGAUCCAUUUGGGUGUUUCUGCAUUUCCCAAGGGCUAUGCUAAAGCACAUGAAAAUCUGGCCUUGGAAGCUGCCUGUUUUUGCUUGGGACUACACCAAAACACAUGGUGAUUCCCAGACCUGGAAUCAGCCAUUUCCCCUGACUAUGCUAAGAUAUAUGGGAGAUCCUGGUAUUAGCAUUUGUUAGCUCUAUCACACUGGGGCUUGGGAGCUGUUCCACAUAUUCUUCCUUUAUAGCUACUUAAGGUCCCUUUUUUUUUUUUUUUUUUUUUUUAAACAUGGAAAGUCUAGAUUUUUGGCUAUGAUAAUCCUUGGAGUUUUCAUUUUGAGGUUUCUUUCGGGAGAUGACUGGUAGAUUAUAUUUCUUUAUACAUUCUAUUUUUUCAGUUAUUGGCUUCUAUAUGAUUCAUUUCAGUUUUCAGUGAGUUUGUUGCUUGGCCAAGUUUCUCUUGUACUUCUUAUGCCAAGGUGUUAAUUCCCUUUCAGUCUUUCAUUACUCUUCUUUUGAUUUUUUUCCCUUAAGCUCUUUCAUUCCAUUUAUAAAAAUAUUUUCAGAUCUUUCAGUAAUGCUAGUUGAGUUUGUAUCUAAGCUGUGUUUUUCUUAAAAGGCUUUGCUUGUAAUUAUUUUGUAGUUAUUAUCUUCUGUUUUUUGUAUCUUGAGCAUCCCUGACAUUUUCAUAGCUCAUUAUGGUGGUAUCCUCUUUUGGUUUUCAUAUUUUCUCAGCUACUUUCUAUUUUUGCAUUUGAUAUUAGGUUUGGACUUUGCAGGACUUCUGGAGGGAAGGUCAGGGUUAGUCUUGUUGCUUUUUAUGGAAUACUGAGUAUUGUGCUAUUCCAGGAUCCCAGGGUGAACUGGUGAACUGCAAGCUUUCAAUGCUCCCAAAGUGUUCGAAUCCAGGCAAAAUCUGUUGUCUCCCUCAUCUGAAUUCUGAAUUCAUCUUCCUUGGAGAAGGGUGGGAAGAGAAGAUGCUAGAAAUAUCUGUUUUUGUCUCCCUGCGAACCACAUCUAGACAGACCUAUGUGGGCACACAUAGCCUACAUUGGGCAAAAACAAAACAACAGGUAUUGAAUAAUCAAACUUCUACCAGUGAGGAGUAAAGUCCCAUGCAAUUGGCUCUGUAAACCAAGGGUUAUAUUAGAAACAAUAAAGCAAAUUUGACAAGACCGUAA